GAUUCUUUCAGUAGAUUUGCAGCAGCAUUCUGAGACCAAAGUCUCAUACAUACUAUUGCUUAAAACCUUGUUCCCAGGUCCUGUGUAUUAGUGUACUUGGCAAUGUUUUUUUGGAUCCUGGUAUUAAAACAGAAGAGAUAGAAUAUACUAUGUGAUUACAGGAAUACUGAUAGUAGCUCCUGUAAAUUUCUAUUUACAUAAACUUGUGUGCAAAAGACCUACUCUGUGCCUCAUGACAUUUACAAUUGGCAUUUAGUUCUCCUGUGAGGCCGAGGAGUCAUUCACUACUCACUGGCAUUGAACAGUUUUACCAUAGCCACCUCUUCCAGCAUCAUAGUCUUGCCGAUACUCAUCUCUGACCUGGCCCCCCGACCUCCCCCGGCCGUACUGCCGGCCCUCCUUAAAUCCUGCAUCCCAGUCCGUCCUUAUGAUCCUGUCGUCAAGCCUGGUCCCAUUGAUGUACCGCAUUGCGUUCUCAGCAUCUCCUCUUGCAUAAUACUCGACGAAGCAGAAGCCGCAGGCGGUCUUCUUCACCUUGUCCAGCCCCAUGAUGAUCUUCUUGAUGUCGCCGCUCUUGCCGAACAGCUCGUGGAUCUGCUCCUCCGUGGUGUAGAACGACAGGUUCCCCACGUACAGCGUGCAGCUCUUCCUCAGCAGCCGCUCCUGGUCGUACCGCGUGCCCCGGAAGUGCUGGUCGCGGUACUGGCUGAGGUCCACGUAGGAGUCGCUGCGCAGGAUGCUCAGCGUGCCGCCCGAGCACAUGCUGCCGCCCCGCACCGCAGCCGCCCGACACGGCGCCCCCGAUUCCGCCGCCAAUGGCGGAACGCGGCGCCGCUCUCGCGAGAACUGGUCCCUCCCGUUCAGCAGCUCUCGCGAGAACGCGCGGGUCGCGGCGACUCUCGCGAGAGCGGCGCGAAGGAUGGUGCUGCGGCGGGUGCUGCUGGCGCUGCUCAGCAACCCGCACCUCAUCGAGAAGCUCGCCGAGUCGCGGCCCAUCCGCGCCGCCGCCCGCCUCACCGCCAGCGCCAUCACCCGGGGGCAGCUGGGCGCCCGCCAGGCGGCGAGAGACCUGCGGCCCGGCCUGACCCGCCUGCGGGACGCCUUUCUGGAGCGGCUGAAGGACGGCGGCCGGCCGCGGGGCUGGCCGGAGUCCCCCGGGAGGGGACCGGGAUCGGGACGAGGACCGGGACGGAGCGGCCGGCCCUGAGCGGCGGGAGGAGGCGGCUGUGCGGGGCGUGCGCGUGGCCGACCCCAUGGAGACGGUUCGGCGGUGACGGCCGGAGCGCGGCAAUGGCACCGAGCGGAGCGGGGGGACCCGAGGAGCGGCCCGGCCCGGCAUGGACGGAGGCGGCCACGGAGCGCUGCGAUGGGGCCGUGUGACCGUCACUUCGCACUGCCACGGCGCUCAGCUACAGGCAGCGGGCAGGCUUACGUCGAGCAUCAUCCAGAAUACUGUGAAGAUUGUCACUUUAAGUGCGUGGUAUGAAACCUAAAAUAAAGCCAUUUCUCACCGGAGGUCCUGUAACGGUUCUUAUCUGUACUGUCCAUAUAGUCUGCAUUUGUAUGGCAGCUCUGAUACAGAGAGCUCCAGCAAUGAUGAUGAUGGGUAGGAUGAAACAAAUGUAUCCAUCGUCCUGAUACCACUGGGCUGCUUUGCUUUCAGUACUCUAUAAACAUCCAUGAGACUUAAAUAGCUUUGCCGCAUACCUCUGGGUGCAGCUGACUGCAUGCUGAGGUAACUUGGAGGGAGAUUGCCAUAGUUGGUAUCGCUGCAGGUGAAAGACCCUCCCUACCUAUGAGACAGAAUCAUAGAAUGGCCUGGGUUGAAAAGGACCACAGUGAUCAUCGAGUUUCAACCCCCCUGCUGUGUGAAGGGUCGCCAACCAGCAGACCAGGCUGCCCAGAGCCACAUCCAGCCUGGCCUUGAAUGCCUCCAGAGAUGGGGCAUCCACAGCCUCCUCGGGCAAGGUACGUGGCUUCCAGCACUGCUGGUAUUAAAAUUAAACUUUCUGCCAACACAGAUGCGCGAAGAAGGAAAAAAAUCUAUGGUAUACUCAAUAAAAGUCCAUCUGGUGAGACGAGCAGUGUAUUUUCAGUCUGAAUCAUUAUUUGUAGCCUAGGGUCUCUGCCUGGCUCCACCCCAGGUGACCUGUGAGUGGUACAAACUCAUCAUGCUGUGGAACUGGUCCAUCACAACCAGGAAAUUUCAAGAUCUAUCCCAUUUGUACAGAGAUCAUAAGUUCAACAGUUACCGUAAGUUCAUAAGAUCAUCAGUUUCAAAACAGUUAUCAAACUUUAUAGCUGUUUAGGAAUAGCUGAGAACAGUAACCAGGACACGGAAUACAAAUUUUGGUACAAUGCUGUUGUCCCAACUUAAAAGAGCAAAAAGGACAUUCACUUAGAAUAUACAUUUGUGAGUCGCUGUGAUGCUUUUGUAAUUCCUUCUGCUACUGGAUGAGUCAUUGGUGCAGCCACUCUGCUGCUGCCUCACCAAAAAGCACACACCCUCAGUAUGCAGGCCUCAGCAAUGAGGGGUGGAGGGGUUCAUGGUGAGCACACAGAGGGGACUUACGAUGCAAAAUGCUUUAUGAGAAGGUUUCUUAACAAUCUCGAUCACUCAUUUAAUUGUGGAGAUACAAGCAAGUCCUUCACAUGGGUUUUUCCUAGCUUCCCUUUAGAGUCUUGCAACAAUAAUUCUUGUCCCUUUUGAAAAACUGGCAAAUAAGGUCUUUUGAAAAGCUGCACAGAUGGAGAACUACAAAAAGCUUUCCUACCACCGUAAGCAGAAAGAAUUAACAUGUAGAUUCAUUUCACAGGGCCUUUGUAAAGCCUUGACAAACGUACCAAAUUAGUAUCUUGCUCCAUGUCAGCACGGUUUUGGAUUCAGAAGUUCAUCAACACAAAAACUUAGAUGUUUAGUUGUGCAGUGAUACUAAGCAUGUGCAUCAUCCUCAGCUGAAGCUGAGGGUUAUUUGCAUCCUACUUUAAAAUGAGACUGCUCUCUAUGAGAGUGCCAGGAUGUGAUUUGUCAUUCCAACUAAGCUGAAUCAAUGGGGAGCUGUUAUGGAAAGGGGAUGGGGGGGCCCACAAGACGCAAUUUCCCCCUUUAACCUCACACACUCAUCUGUGACAGAACUGGUGCUCCUCUAAGCCCGUGGUCAGCUCGGGGGUCCAUCUGGUCAAACACACAUUGGGGAUCAAACCCCUGCAAGGUAUCAGAUCUGUCUGUGUAGCUCCUUGAAGCAGCACAUCACAGUGCCCAGAGUCAUAGCUGCAAAAUACCACUGGAACACAAGAAGGGACCUGCCCUUUUUGGAGUAGCUAAGUAGUAGGCAGACUUAAUUACAUCAAGCAGCAUCCUCACGUUGCUGUGCAUAAUACGUAUGUAGGACAUCCACAGAGAUUUAACUGUGGCAAGAAACACUAAACAGGCAAAAUAAUACUUCAAUUUUAGGAUUUACCAUAAAUGCCUGUGCCAAAGCAUCUUCCAUGUUCUAAAGCUGAUUCUGUUACAUCAAUACUGGGGAUUUUUCAGGACAGAAAUGCCUCAAACCAUAUUGUAACACUGGUGUCCGUAUCGUGACUGGUAUAGCCACAGAGAGGAGGGUCUGAAAUUUCAAGAGCAUAAGGGUAAAACCAUACUGAAUUAGAUGAAGCUCUCCUAGUCUAGUAACUUCUCUCCAGUAGAUGAGUUAAACGCCUAUUUUCAGUAACGCAGCCCACAAACCCUCUAUGUGAGAUUACAAGAACUCUUAAUGUGUAUCUCAUAUGAAAAGAAUGAAGCUCGAGUUGGUUUCUGUGGUCUCUGGGUUCAUCCUCUCUCAUCAGGAAAAUGAGGCAAGCUCCUCAGAAACACCACAGGGACUGAAUGAUUCAAAUCUUGGUAGAGGUGGCUAUACUGAGCACGAAGGGGGGAAACUGAGGAGCUCACAGCAGCUCUGCCUGUGCUGAGCACAGGACUUCGAAGAGGAAGGUCUGACAGCACAUUUGGGCAGAGGGAAAGUGGAAACGUAGAAUGUUCUGAGAUCUAAAGGCUCUGCUGAGCUCUGCCUAGCUGAAGGAUGUAUAGUCCUAACUGACUUCUCCAGUUUUCACUGAAUAGGAAGGAUAUUUGUGGUGGAUCUUCCAUUGAUAAGUGUGGAAAUAUCAAAGUCUCAUUCUUGAGCAGGACACCACAUUUGGAAAUUGUGGCUCUGACUGUACCAGGGAUUAUCACCAAAAAGUGACAGUCGCCGCAGGUGCCAUUGUUUGCAUGCUGUCCUACCACUUGGCAGAGGGUUUCCUCUUCAGACCCAGCCAUAUCAAUCACUUCUACAUGUGUGUCUUUCUUCUCAAUAUUGAGCAGAGACCUAGGAGGCAUGUAGGUGUGAGCAAAGAGCAGAGUAUAGCAUCUUGGAUGGUUUGAGGCCUCCAAAGAAUGCACGAGGUGCUCCAAGUGAAACAAACACGGUAUGAGUCCCCCCUGGUGCAGACACCCAAACAGGAAAGCCCCGAGGACAUUAAAAAUGAUAAUGAUGGGUUGCCACUUCAUAGCUCUAUUCUGUGACGCGCUGAAAAGGACUAAGGGCAAGAUGAGAGGGAUGAGAAACCGAGGUUCCUGGUGGCUGAAUAGGGACAGAAGCACCAAAGGAACAAAAUAAAACAGCAGCAGCGUUGGCUGGCCAUCGGAUGGCACUGACAACCUGGGUGACCCACGGUAAUACGAUCCGACCCGCACUGACUGAUGGAUGUAUUUCUUUAGCAUUUUAAAACCGGCACCGACGGCCAGGAGGUGUAAGAUCCCAAAGAGCAAUGCUCCGUUAACUACAAAAUGUGUAACUCGUGGGUGACUUCCGUGCUGUGCAAGGUUACGAGAAUCGAGAUUGUAGCGGAGAAAGUUGAAAGGGGUCACCACCACUCUGUGGUUUACCUGAGCUAUGACAUCGGACAGGCUGCCGUUCGUAAAGCUGAAAAGGCUGUCCCAGCCCACUGAGGUAAAAUACAUGGUGUCGGCUGUUAUAAAAACAACGGCAGUAAAACACGCA
rnacentral:lncRNA from 1 species